rnacentral:rRNA from 1 species
GACGAACGCUGGCGGCGUGCUUAACACAUGCAAGUCGAACGGAAAGGCCCUGCUUUUGUGGGGUGCUCGAGUGGCGAACGGGUGAGUAACACGUGAGUAACCUGCCCUUGACUUUGGGAUAACUUCAGGAAACUGGGGCUAAUACCGGAUAGGAGCUCCUGCCGCAUGGUGGGGGUUGGAAAGUUUCGGCGGUUGGGGAUGGACUCGCGGCUUAUCAGCUUGUUGGUGGGGUAGUGGCUUACCAAGGCUUUGACGGGUAGCCGGCCUGAGAGGGUGACCGGCCACAUUGGGACUGAGAUACGGCCCAGACUCCUACGGGAGGGAGCAGUGGGGAAUAUUGCAAAAUGGGCGGAAGCCUGAUGCAGCAACGCCGCGUGCGGGAUGACGGCCUUCGGGUUGUAAACCGCUUUCGCCUGUGACGAAGCGUGAGUGACGGUAAUGGGUAAAGAAGCACCGGCUAACUACGUG